rnacentral:lncRNA from 1 species
CUUCAUACCCUCUCUCUUUCUCUGCCUCACUCUCUUGACCAGUGUGUCUUCAAAGUCCAGCGUUGUCCUUUACAGUGAAUCUCAGGCCAUCGUCCAUUCUGUCUGCUUCUGUACCUCUGUUUCUAAACACUGCAAACUGACCGGUACCGGAUUUCUGAAUUGAAAACCAAAAUGGACAAGACCCAACACUACCACCACCAGUAACAGCUCCAUAGUUCCCAGCAGUAAUGUACCAAUAAAUAAAUAAUGAAAUAAAACUAUGUAUUAUUUACAUAUA